UCAUCAAAUCAAAGAAAGAGAGCUUCGCUAACUCAAAAGAAGAGGAGGCAUCGAAAGAUAAGCUUCGGAAGCAGCACCUAGUUUUGGAUCAACAACAAAGGAAUAUUCAGGAACUGAAACAUUCUCUUCGAACUACUAGAGCUGGCAUGGAGUUCAUGCAAAUGAAGUACUAUGAAGAAUUCAGCGAUCUUGGCCAGCAUCUGUAUCGCCUUGCUCACGC